CUACUCUUGACAUCCAGAGAACUUAGCAGAGAUGCUUUGGUGCCUUCGGGAACUCUGAGACAGGUGCUGCAUGGCUGUCGUCAGCUCGUGUUGUGAAAUGUUGGGUUAAGUCCCGCAACGAGCGCAACCCUUAUCCUUUGUUGCCAGCGGUCCGGCCGGGAACUCAAAGGAGACUGCCAGUGAUAAACUGGAGGAAGGUGGGGAUGACGUCAAGUCAUCAUGGCCCUUACGAGUAGGGCUACACACGUGCUACAAUGGCGCAUACAAAGAGAAGCGACCUCGCGAGAGCAAGCGGACCUCAUAAAGUGCGUCGUAGUCCGGAUUGGAGUCUGCAACUCGACUCCAUGAAGUCGGAAUCGCUAGUAAUCGUAGAUCAGAAUGCUACGGUGAAUACGUUCCC
rnacentral:rRNA from 1 species